rnacentral:miRNA from 1 species
UUCACAAGGAGAUGUCAUUUAU